rnacentral:rRNA from 1 species
AGCAGCCGCGGUAAUUCCAGCUCCAAUAGCGUAUAUUAAAGUUGUUGCAGUUAAAAAGCUCGUAGUUGAAUUUCGGGGUCAGUAGGCUGGUCAUGCCACAGGUAUGUACUGGCCUCACUGAUUCCUCCUUCCUGAUGAACCGUAAUGCCAUUAAUUUGGUGCUGCGGGGAAACUGGACUGUUACUUUGAAAAAAUUAGAGUGUUUAAAGCAGGCUAACGCUUGAAUACAUUAGCAUGGAAUAAUGAAAUAGGACGUUCGAUCCUAUUUUGUUGGUUUCUAGGAUUGACGUAAUGAUUAAUAGGGAUAGUUGGGGGCAUUAGUAUUCAAUUGUCAGAGGUGAAAUUCUUGGAUUUAUUGAAGACUAACUACUGCGAAAGCAUUUGCCAAGAAUGUUUUCAUUAAUCAAGAACGAAAGUUAGAAGGUUCGAAGGCGAUCAGAUACCGCCCUAGUUCUAACCAUAAACGAUGUCGACUGGCCGAUCCGCUAUCGUUAACUGAAUAGACUUAGCGG